rnacentral:rRNA from 1 species
CACACCGCCCGUCACACCAUGGGAGUCAGUUGCUCCAGAAGUGGCCGAGCCAACCCGCAAGGGAGGCAAGCCCCUAAGGAGUGGCUGGUAACUGGGGUG